CUCUGGAUCAGCUGGCAGCUCAUGUGGUUCCCUGGACUAAACUAGAUGCCCUCCGGACUUCUUCACAUCUACAUUUUCCGAUGGGAUUUUAUUUCACCAGACAAGAGCUCUGAGCUGCAGCAGUAGUGACGCAUGACCCUGACCCAGCCAUUGUCGUGCUCCCUGGAUGAACUCAGAUGUUGGGUAAAGAAAUUCAAGUCUGCCAUCUCAGACUCUGUUUGCCGGGCUUCUAUCAAACGGCUGAUAUAUCUGUUGACUCGAGUUCCUGGAGUGGUGUAUACAAUGUUUGUAGAAAAAGAGGAUCGAUUCCUGAGUUUUUCAGAGGCUGUUCUUAAUGCUCUCCUCUGCAGUAUUAAUGGAAACAAAAAGACUUGUUCAAAACAUUGAUUUUUAAAAAGAUCACAUAAAAAAACCUCAUUUGACAGAAUAUGUGUUUAUUUUCUCAUCAGCAAACAGGAAUAGUUACCCCUAGAUUGUCCAGUCUUAGUAAAACUAAGGGCUCAGAAACUCUAAAGACGCCAAGAAGCUGACCCCAAAAGCCAUCAGUAUAUUAUUCUCACUCAAAAAAAAAGGAUAUUUAGAAAAUAUACUGGUCUCUGUAUUUCUGCAUGCAGUGUAUUUAUAUUUAAAUGUUCAUUUCAGUUCAUCUUUCAUUUGACUUUGAAGUAAUCCCAAGAGUUAUGGAAUGCAAAUAUUAUCACCACCCUCAUUUGAGAGAUGAAGAAGCUAAGACUAUUGGAAAUGAAGUCCAGAGUGACCCCACUACUAAGCAGCAGAGGGGAGCUUCUGCAACCACUUCAAAAUAUUCACCAGGUCAAACAUGCAGGAACCAUAUUUGCUGAAGUUUCUUUGUUGAGGAUCAAUUAUACAGUCUAUGAAGAUAAUUAUUCAUGUGGUUGUAGCACGUGGCAUAAAUAUUAGUGUCAGUUGGAGAAAAAGAGCCCUAACCAGUUUCUUUGUUUUUCUCUUCAUAGGUAUGAAAACAAACCUGGAAUGCAGAGGAGACUGGAAAUUAACAUGGGCAACUUUAAGAAAAAAGUUUGAGGGCACAAAUAAAUAUUUAAGUAUCAACAUUGAAAAGGUCUGUCAUGGAUCAGAAAAUAUGAUUGGCUUUUAUAGAAUCUUGAGAUCUAGAGUCAAAAGGGAUGUUAUGGGUCAUGUACUCUAGAGCCCACCCAUCUUGAAUUUGGACUUUGCAACACACCCUCCAUGACAAUGGUGAAUGGGCAUCUCUCGGUUCUAAGGCUUCAGUUGAGAAUGAUGUCUUGUUAGUGGAUCAUUUUCUUGUAUGCCAUUUCCAUUUCCUUGUGAGUUAUGAGAAAGAAAUAUUUUAAACAAAGUUAUAAAGGCCAAUAGAUAACUCAGCUAGUCAGAAAGAAAGAGUAUGUUGUAAGAGACAGAGUUGGCGGGAGCAUUGUACUGGUAUACCUGAACAAGUAAAAAACCUAGGAGAAUUAGAAUAAUAGCUAGCAUUUCUGGAACACCUGAAGGUUAGCAAAACGUUUUACAGAUAUUAACUCAUUGGGUUCUUCCAACAAUCCUGUAAGGCAGGUGCUACUAUCACCAUCAUUUUACAAAGGAAGAAACAGCCUAGGAGAGUUUCAAUAACUUGGCCCAGGGUCAUAAAACUAGUGAAUGUCAAAGGCAAUAUUCCAACUCAGAUCUUCCUGGCUCCAGGUCCAGUUCUCGAUGCAAAGCACUGCCCAGCUGCUUGAGGAAGGAAGGUCUCUGGUAUAAGGAGUGGAUUCUUUAAGGGGAAUUUAUGCCAGGGUGCGAUCAAGACAAGAGAGAGGGUAUGACUAAACUGUGAUCUACACACUUACCCCAGUGAGAUGGCAAAAGGAUUUAAUUAGUGAAGGUGACUUCUUUCAUUAUCACCUCCUUC